AUUGAACGCUGGCGGCAGGCCUAACACAUGCAAGUCGAGCGGAUGAAGGGAGCUUGCUCCUGGAUUCAGCGGCGGACGGGUGAGUAAUGCCUAGGAAUCUGCCUGGUAGUGGGGGAUAACGUCCGGAAACGGGCGCUAAUACCGCAUACGUCCUGAGGGAGAAAGUGGGGGAUCUUCGGACCUCACGCUAUCAGAUGAGCCUAGGUCGGAUUAGCCAGUUGGUGGGGUAAAGGCCUACCAAGGCGACGAUCCGUAACUGGUCUGAGAGGAUGAUCAGUCACACUGGAACUGGGACACGGUCAAGACUCCUACGGGAGGCAGCAGUGGGGAAUAUUGGACAAUGGGUGAAAGCCUGAUCCAGCCAUGCCGCGUGUGUGAAGAAGGUCUUCGGAUUGUAAAGCACUUUAAGUUGGGAGGAAGGGCAGUAAGUUAAUACCUUGCUGUUUUGACGUUACCAACAGAAUAAGCACCGGCUAACUUCGUG
rnacentral:rRNA from 1 species